rnacentral:rRNA from 1 species
UGGGAAUAUUGCGCAAUGGGCGAAAGCCUGACGCAGCGACGCCGCGUGAGGGAUGAAGGUUUUCGGAUCGUAAACCUCUGUCAGAAGGGAAGAAGUUGCAUGGGGCCAAUCACCUGUGCAUUGACGGUACCUUCAAAGGAAGCACCGGCUAACUCCGUGCCAGCAGCCGCGGUAAUACGGAGGGUGCGAGCGUUAAUCGGAAUUACUGGGCGUAAAGCGCACGUAGGCUGUAUGUCAAGUCAAGGGUGAAAUCCCACGGCUCAACCGUGGAACUGCCUUUGAAACUGGCAAACUGGAGUAUGUGAGAGGGCGGCGGAAUUCCUGGUGUAGGAGUGAAAUCCGUAGAUAUCAGGAGGAACAUCAGUGGCGAAGGCGGCCGCCUGGCACAAAACUGACGC